CUUCCGCUCGCCCUUUCUCCCUCAGAGCCUACUUCUGGCCAAAAUUAUCUUCUAUUAUCACCGUGGAUAUGAAAGUAUUAGAGAGAGACGAUCCAAAACACAAACAUCACCUUUCCGUUCAUCAGAGCCAAUUCCCUCCUCCUCCGCAUCCUCAUCUAAUUCUCUAACGAAACCAUCGACGAUGAUUAAGUUUUAGAUCUGGUCGUGAUUUUCUCUUUCUAACUUGGCGUGUUGUUAGAUCUGCUUGCAUCACUCUUCACAUCUUUCCUCACUGUUCUUUGCAUCCUCCUUUCCACACCCUCUAUUUUUCAUGCUUGUCGAGCAACAUCUGGGAGUGAGUAAUUGUGCUUCUGGUAACUCCAUUUUUCAUCUUUCCAAUGAGGGUUUCUUUUUUACCUAUACAGGUAAAGAGUGUUACAGAUCCUUGUGAGCAUCGGAAUGAGCAAAUGCAAGAUGAUGAGAUGAGCCCUGGGGCUGAUUCCACGCAGAGGGAUGAGUAUUUUGAUUCUAACAGUGAGGUCGACCAUACUCAAGGAGAUUGAUAUAUAGUUGCCCCAAUAGAAAAAACAACCACAGAUAAUUGAUGGCAUGGAUGACCAAGACAAUACACAGGAUUCUAUAGAAGAUGGGAGACAAUUAGACCAGGUGAAGUAGCGGAUUCUUCAUAGCUACCUUGACAUUGUUGAGCUUACUGACGUUCUAGCAAAUUUUCCUGACACCUCAGUGGUAUAAGACUUAACCAUCACAUUAGAGCGGUGUGAUAAAUUCCAUCGCUUGACGAUCAAUGUUGUCAUGGUGAUUAAUUUUGAUGGGUUAUUUGGAGAUGAUGGAUAAGCUCAUCAGGGAAGACGUGCUAUCAGCAAAGGGAAUGGAUAUCUACACCAUUAACAGGCAAAAGAAAUUUGAUGAAUAUGAAUUCUCAACCGUGAAAGAAAAAGCUGAUGAUCAAACUAUUCAAGUCAUUGAUGAAGUUCCCUAGGUUGAAGAUAGCCUUUACAUGAAGCUUUUCAUUAAAUGAACACAAUACGUGCGCGCGCGCGCUAUUGAAGCUAUGGUAUGACUUCGAAGCCCAAAAGGCUCCAAUGGGCACUACUGUUGAAGCUAUGCUUUUUGGUGUUGUGGCACUUGGGAGCUUAAUUUCCUCUCUUUUUAACGAGGGAAUCACAACAGAGAGGGAUCCACAUGUGGUAUCCUCCAUGCCAUUGGAUCAGAUCUAAUGAAGAAGAGAGUUAAAUCAGACAUAAACCAAACUGACUCCACCAGGAGCGGACGUAAUAAGACAGCAAUGGACAGCAAAGGAAGGAGAAGAAGGUCCUUAAAUGCUGAACAGAGGAGAAAACUGAUGCUGCAGCACGUUAUGAAAGGAGAAAAAUGAAGCUUGCAACAGAACAGGGGAGCAGAAAAAAAAACUGGACUAUACUCGCAAGGAAACACAGCAAAUGAAUCAACAGCAACAGUCUAGACUCAUUACAGUACUGCCGUAGCUCCAGCAACUCGGUUCCUCAUCCAGCUACUGCUUGAAGGUGACGAUACAGGUAGAACCAGAGCAGAAAACGAAGAAAAAAAAAAACAGAGACAAGAAGCACGGACAGAUCAACCCAGUGCUGCUCAUGCUCUACUCUGGCCAGCGACCAUUGAGAAUACGAAGGAGAAGAUUAGUCGGUGACCAUGCAACUUAGCUAACCUGAACCGCGGUAAACAAACAGAGAAAAGAAAAGGAGAUUCUAUUAACGCCGAACAGGGGAGAUACGAAGGUGAACCUCUUGAAAAUUUAAGAGCUGUGACAACCUCCACUCUUAUCAACGACCACUAAAAAUGAGAAGACAGAGAGAGACACAGAAGGAUGAAGAGAACAGUUACACCAUAGUUCCAGACUUUUCUAUCGCCUUCUCACACUCUGUAAAUCGACUCAGAGAAGAAAGAAAAUAUAUCUGAUGGGACAAGGGUAUUCUGUAAUUUCAAAGGAGCUAAGCAAAAUAAAAUUUUCAUUUCUUA